rnacentral:rRNA from 1 species
AUUGAACGCUGGCGGCAUGCAUAACACAUGCAAGUCGCGCGAGCGGCGGACGGGUGCGUAAUGUCUGGGGCUCUUCCCGGUAGAAGGGGAUAACUACUGGAAACGGUGGCUAAUACCGCAUCCGAGAGGAUGAACCCAUAUGGGAUUAGCUAGUAGGUGGGGUAAAGGCUCACCUAGUAGACGAUCUCUAGCUGGUAUGAGAGGAGGAUCAGCCACACUGGGACUGAGACACGGCCCAGCCUCCUACGGGAGGAAGCAGUGGGGAAUAUUGGGCAAUGGGCGCAAGCCUGACGCAGCCCUGCCGCGUGUAUGACGAAGGCCUUAGGGUUGUAAAGUACUUUCAGCGGGGAGGCGGUACCCGCAGAAGAAGCACCGGCUAACUCCGUGCCAGCAGCCGCGGUAAUUC